rnacentral:lncRNA from 1 species
UAAUAACUCAUUUCAAUUCAUACAAAUUCAAUCAAUAAAAUUUAUAUUAUCAAAAUUAUUCAUUUACCCCUAUUAACUUGACUCGGACUCUGACAGAUACGCAGAUUCCACCCAAACACACCAGAAUAUCCAACCAAAACACACCCGAAAUAAAUAUAAAUCCUCCAUAACGCACCAAUAUAUCAUAUCCUCCCAAACACACCAAUAAGACAUUAAAUGUCUCUUUGGAUAAACCGAAGCAUAUAAUAACAUAAUCAUCUUCUCGGCUGAGCUACAAAUCUCCUCAUCACAUCACAAAUCCUAUGGCAUGCCAUUUGUAUCCAAUCUAGUCUGAUAAGUUAAUAGGGUAUUCGAAUCACAUUUCAAUUCAAUCACUUUCUCAUACUUUCAAUUCCAAUUUAAUCACAAUUUAAUUCAAUACAUUUUUCACCUUCCAAUCAGUAUACCAUCAAUUGCUCAUACAUAUUCAUACUUCAUUUUAAUUUCAUUCAAUUCACAUACAAUUCAAUAUCAUUUAAUUCAAUAUCGAUAUUCACCUUAUUUUUAUUUAUUAAACAUAUUAUUCAAAAUUCAACAAUUGCUAUUAAUAAAUUCAAUAUCAAUACGUAUUUAUCAUUCAAUUCAAUCAUGAUACUUACUUCAAUUUGCUUAUCAUGUAUAUUAAUUUAAAUUUUAACAAUUAAUAAUUAAAUUCGAAUUAUGGUAAUACUAACCGUAAAUUUUCUCGAGUCACUCCUUGUUCACCUUCUCCUUUCCUUUCUCGGACAAUGACUCUUGCAUGACAUUAGCUACGUAAUUAAACAAUUAAAAAUCAUUAAUACACAAUUUCAUUAAAAUAUUUCCUUUUAUACCUAAACUUUUACCCAAAUUCCAAUUUAAUCCCUUAUCAAUACUAAUUUUAUUUUCCCAUUCUAACUCUAUAUUCUCUCUUAAUUCUUACUAUAAAUUCACUUUAACUCUUCAUUUUCACCAUAAAUCCCUAGUUUCAAAAUUCUCUCAAUUUAGUCCCUAUUAAUUCAAAGCCUAUAAUUUAUUUUACAAAUCAACCUUUUACUAACUUCUAACUUGAAAUUUAAUCAAUUUAACCCCUAAUUCUUUCAUUUAUUCAACAUAAUCAAUGUCUAGAAAUAUAAUAACUUCCCAAAUUUCAACAUAAAUCCAAUAAUACUUUGUUCUAGGAUACCAAAAACUCAAAAAUUAUAAGAAAAUGACUUAAUUUAACUUACCAAUUGAGCUUGGAAUCUUGAAAUCCCAAAUUUUCUUCCUUUGCUUCCCUUUUUCUUUUUCUUUCCUUUCUCCCCUGUUUUCGUUUGCCUAUUCUGU